rnacentral:rRNA from 1 species
AUUGAACGCUGGCGGCAGGCUUAACACAUGCAAGUCGAGCGGGGGAAGGUAGCUUGCUACCGGACCUAGCGGCGGACGGGUGAGUAAUGCUUAGGAAUCUGCCUAUUAGUGGGGGACAACAUCUCGAAAGGGAUGCUAAUACCGCAUACGUCCUACGGGAGAAAGCAGGGGAUCUUCGGACCUUGCGCUAAUAGAUGAGCCUAAGUCGGAUUAGCUAGUUGGUGGGGUAAAGGCCUACCAAGGCGACGAUCUGUAGCGGGUCUGAGAGGAUGAACCGCCACACUGGGACUGAGACACGGCCCAGACUCCUACGGGAGGCAGCAGUGGGGAAUAUUGGACAAUGGGGGGAACCCUGAUCCAGCCAUGCCGCGUGUGUGAAGAAGGCCUUAUGGUUGUAAAGCACUUUAAGCGAGGAGGAGGCUACUCUAGUUAAUACCUAGGGAUAGUGGACGUUACUCGCAGAAUAAGCACUGGCUAACUCUGUGCCAGCCGCCGCAGUAA